GCCAGUGUGGCAUAGUGAUUAGGGUGUUGGACUAGGACUUGGGAGACUAGGGUUCAGAUCCCUACUCUGGAG